rnacentral:rRNA from 1 species
AGAGUUUGAUCCUGGCUCAGGACGAACGCUGGCGGCGUGCUUAACACAUGCAAGUCGAACGGUGAACUCUCCUUCGGGAGGGGGAUCAGUGGCGAACGGGUGAGUAACACGUGACCAACCUGCCCCUUGCUCUGGGAUAACCCCGGGAAACCGGAGCUAAUACCGGAUACGAGACCAUGCGGCAUCACAUGGUCUGGAAAGUUCUUCGGCAAGGGAUGGGGUCGCGGCCUAUCAGCUUGUUGGUGGGGUAAUGGCCUACCAAGGCGACGACGGGUAGCCGGCCUGAGAGGGCGACCGGCCACACUGGGACUGAGACACGGCCCAGACUCCUACGGGAGGCAGCAGUGGGGAAUAUUGCGCAAUGGGCGAAAGCCUGACGCAGCGACGCCGCGUGAGGGAUGACGGCCUUCGGGUUGUAAACCUCUUUCAGCAGGGAAGAAGCGAAAGUGACGGUACCUGCAGAAGAAGCACCGGCUAACUACGUGCCAGCAGCCGCGGUAAUACGUAGGGUGCAAGCGUUGUCCGGAAUUAUUGGGCGUAAAGAGCUCGUAGGCGGUCUGUCGCGUCGGAUGUGAAAAUCCAGGGCUCAACCCUGGACCUGCAUUCGAUACGGGCAGACUAGAGUUCGGUAGGGGAGACUGGAAUUCCUGGUGUAGCGGUGAAAUGCGCAGAUAUCAGGAGGAACACCGGUGGCGAAGGCGGGUCUCUGGGCCGAAACUGACGCUGAGGAGCGAAAGCGUGGGGAGCGAACAGGAUUAGAUACCCUGGUAGUCCACGCCGUAAACGUUGGGCGCUAGGUGUGGGGAACCUUCCACGUUCUCCGUGCCGCAGCUAACGCAUUAAGCGCCCCGCCUGGGGAGUACGGCCGCAAGGCUAAAACUCAAAUGAAUUGACGG